rnacentral:lncRNA from 1 species
CGGAACAUGAACGAAAUGCAACACAGGGUCAAGCCAAGCCAAUGAUGGAAGAAAAUCAAGGAAAAAGGAGGAUAUGUCUGAGUCAGUCUGACAAUUCUCCGAAGUUCUUUAGAUGUUUUAAUUAAUGGGUUAAUUACAGUUUAGUAUCUUGUAAUUACACUCUUAAGCCCCGUUUGGUUUAUGGGAAAGGAAGGUUGGGGAUGAGAAAUCAAUUGCUUUCCCAUGUUUGGUAAGUCAGGCAUGAGAAAUCGUUGCCUGGCAGAUGGGAAAGUAAGGGGAAAAGUGAAGUCAUCCUCCCUCCUUGGGCUUUACGUUCCCUUCUCAUGGGAAAGUAAAGCCAACAUUAAAUGCACCUUAUUUCUGACUAUUUUGUCCUUACUAAUAAUUUUAUCGAAAAACUAUUGGUAUUCUUUUUUGUUUUUUUAAUUCAUAUUUCUUAAAA